AAACAGGUGCUAAUACCGCAUAACCAUCAAAACCACCUGGUUUUGAUGUUAAAGAUGGUUCUGCUAUCGCUUUAAGAUGGACCCGCGGCGUAUUAGCUAGUUGGUGAGGUAACGGCUUACCAAGGCAAUGAUACGUAGCCGAACUGAGAGGUUGAUCGGCCACAUUGGGACUGAGACACGGCCCAAACUCCUACGGGAGGCAGCAGUAGGGAAUCUUCCACAAUGGACGAAAGUCUGAUGGAGCAACGCCGCGUGAGUGAAGAAGGUUUUCGGAUCGUAAAACUCUGUUGUCAGAGAAGAACGUGUGUGAGAGUAACUGUUCACGCAGUGACGGUAUCUGACCAGAAAGUCACGGCUAACUACGUGCCAGCAGCCGCGGUAAUACGUAGGUGGCAAGCGUUGUCCGGAUUUAUUGGGCGUAAAGGGAACGCAGGCGGUCUUUUAAGUCUGAUGUGAAAGCCUUCGGCUUAACCGAAGUCGGGCAUUGGAAACUGGGAGACUUGAGUGCAGAAGAGGAGAGUGGAACUCCAUGUGUAGCGGUGAAAUGCGUAGAUAUAUGGAAGAACACCAGUGGCGAAAGCGGCUCUCUGGUCUGUAACUGACGCUGAGGUUCGAAAGCGUGGGUAGCAAAC
rnacentral:rRNA from 1 species